rnacentral:lncRNA from 1 species
UCAAACAAAAACAAAAACAAAAACAAAGCAAAACAAACAAACAAAAAACCUCAAAAAACUAGCUUUUCUGGAAAUCAGAUUAAAACUUGUCAUAAAACACCUGUUGAAUUAACUUAAUUCUGUGAUCCAGGCUUUUUGUUUGUCUCAUAACCAGCCUUAGAUAGAAGCUGUGACUUGCCCACAUUCUGAAUACAUCUAAGAAGAUACUGUAUCUGGAAAUUUUAAUUUUUUUUUAAGUCUGUGUUUAGGUCUUCACUGGGGAGCACUCAGGGACCAAGGGAUAUCCCUUGUCUCAAUAAUUCAUGCUGGUGAUUUCAAAACUUCUGGCCAUGUCUUCUGAGGCUAAAAAUAUUGAAGAUACUGCCUUCCCCAAAAGGACAGAGGAGAAGCAUGCCAAAAGGAGGAAAGGAAGUUACCAUAUCAAAAAGAUACCUGCACACAUAUGUGUGUUGCAGCACAAUUCACAAUUGCAGAUAUGGAGUCAACCAAGGUGCCCAUCAGCUUGUGGAUAAAGGAAAGUGUGAUGUAUAUAGGCCAAGCACAGUGGCUCAUGCCUGUAGUCCAGCACUUUGGGAGGCUGAGGCAGAAGGAUCCCUUGAAGCCAGGAGUUUGAGACCAGCCUGGACAACAAAGUGAGACCCUGUCUCUAUUUUUUUUAAGUGGUGUAUAUAUACCAUGGAAUACUACUAAGCCAUAAAAAGAACCAAAUAAUGUAUUUUCAGCUAUUUGGAUGGAACUGGAGGCCAUUAUCCUAAGUGAAGUAACACAGGGACAAAAAACCAAAUACCGCAUGUUUUCACAAGUGGGAACUAAGCUAUGGGUAAGCAAAGGUAUACAGAGUGCUAUAAUGGACACUGGAGACUCAGAAAUGGGGAGGAUGGGCCGGGCGCGGUGGCUCACACCUGUAAUCCUAACACUUCGGGAGGCUGAGGCAGGUGUCUCACUUGAGAUCAGGGGUUCAAAACCAGCCUGGCCAACAUGGUGAAAUCCUG